rnacentral:rRNA from 1 species
GACGAACGCUGACGGCGUGCUUAACACAUGCAAGUCGAAGGGAGUGGCGAACGGGUGAGUAACACGUGAGUAACCUGCCCUUUUCUUUGGGAUACGCCUGGGAAACUGGGUCUAAUACUGGAUGGUUUGGGAUGGUCUCGCGGCUUAUCAGCUUGUUGGUGGGGGGAUGGCUUACCAAGGCUUUGACGGGUCGCCGGGCGGAGUGGGGGGUCGGUAAGACGGGGACUGUGAUACGGCCCAGACUACUACGGGAGGCAGCAGUGGGGGAUAGUGCACAAGGGACGAUAGGCUGAUGCAGCGACGUCGUGUGGGGGAUGAAGGCCUUCGGGUUGUAAACUCCUUUCGCCCGCGGAAUGGGAGUGGGUAAAGAAGCGCCGGCUAACUACGUGCCAGCAGACGCGGUAAUUC